GAAAAAAGAACUUUUUUUCUUACCAAAAGUAUUUAGCCAGAUCUGUUUAAAUAUCAUAUUUAAAUGACCAUAUUCUUUUAUAUAUAUUUAAAUUCUGUAUGCAUUUCUCUUGACUCCCAUCACAAACAAUUUUUGUCAGAUUAAGAAACAAUUCACAAUAGAACAAUUGUAUAUUUUUUUUAUUUUCAUUAACACAUAUUUUAAUCUGACACAUUAAUUUUUUGUGGAGAAUGAUAUAGGGUGUGCGUCAUUGUGUAUGUGUGCGUAGAAUGUGUAUGAUGUUUGCAUUUUGUAUUUAUUUUAAUUUUUUUCAUUACUGUUGUACAUCUUACUUAACAUCGUUCUUUGAAUCUCCCUAACUUUUUCUAUCUUUUCUACUACUUUUGGUGUUUAUUAAAUCUAUAUGAUAGGUUUGAUAACUUGUAAAAAAGAAUGUACUCAUAUGCCUAAUCUUUGGAAAACAGUUGUCAAAUAUUCCAACAGAAUAAUUGGAAUCCUUUAUUGAAAAAUGUUAUUUCAAUAAAUUUAAUUAAAC
rnacentral:misc_RNA from 1 species